AGAACGAACGCUGGCGGCAUGCCUAACACAUGCAAGUCGAACGAGACCUUCGGGUCUAGUGGCGCACGGGUGCGUAACGCGUGGGAAUCUGCCCUUGGGUUCGGAAUAACAGCGAGAAAUUGCUGCUAAUACCGGAUGAUGACGUAAGUCCAAAGAUUUAUCGCCCAAGGAUGAGCCCGCGUAGGAUUAGCUUGUUGGUGAGGUAAGAGCUCACCAAGGCGACGAUCCUUAGCUGGUCUGAGAGGAUGAUCAGCCACACUGGGACUGAGACACGGCCCAGACUCCGUACGGGACGGCGAGCGAGGUGGGAAUAGUUAGGACAAGUGGGACGAAAGCCGUGAUCCAGCAAGUCGCGCGUGAGUGAGUGAACGGUCCCGUAGGGUUAGUAAACGUCCGUUACGUUUUAACCCCGGAUUAG
rnacentral:rRNA from 1 species